UAUAUUGAGUCGGAGAGAUAAGCGCUGGAAGGAACAGUUAAAGCCUAUUCAAAAGAACUUUCGUCACAAUUUUAUAGGUUAUGUGAUGAGUGGGGUCAUUUCCGACACUAUUUUAUAUAUAUGUUCCUUAGAUUUUAGGUUAGUUCCUUUAGCAUUUUAGUGUCUUUGUUUAGGUUUUUGAUAUUUUGUGGCUUAUUUCUUUUUUUUUGUGUUUUUAAAGAUUAUUGGGGCAUUUUGGAACAUAAAAAGAUGAACCAAAUAAAGGAGCCAAUGUGGAACGCAAAUGGAAGUUCCUUCGGAGGCACUUGAGAAACCGACGAAGAUGAAAAGAGCUUGUUGGGCACGCUUUAUUCAUCUAGGUUCAUUGAAUCCACGAAUUAGGAAGUCUUGGGAAAUAAUUUACAAUAUCUAUAGCAGUUGGAAAAGAUAUAUUUGGUUAAAGAGAAGAUCUUAUCAAUUGGUUAAGAUAUGCAAAGAGAUAUAUUUUCACAAUCUUAUCUAAUUACUUUCUGUAUCUUUCAAAGAUUCCCAAUUAUCUCUUAGCCUAUUUAAAGCCACGAAAUUAGAGAGAAAAGAAGAGACGUGAGAAAGGGUAGACCUCACUUUAAAACCCCUCAAGGGUUAGGAGUCGUUUUUUGCUGUUUGUGAUACAUUGCAGCGGAGGAACUAGGAGCAAACUUAGAGGAACUCAGAUCCGAAUCUGAGGAACUUGAUGGGUUCUUGUUUUGAUUUCUUUUCUUAUCUUUGUGUUAUGAGUCCUUAGCUUGUUAUGUUUAGUAACUAAUAGUUUGAAGCCAUGUACUGAGUAUUUGAGACGAGUAUUGUCGGUUUUAAAGAUUAAUGCUUUGGAGUAUACUUGAAUUAUUGUUUUGUACAAAUGAUAAUUUCUUAUAAGUAGGUGUACAACUAUUUUUUUUAGGUCUGGUUUCUUUUGCUAAUUAAUACUACUAAGUCCGUAAUUUCUUGGGAACAUUAAUGAAGUAGCAAACAAUUGUUGAGGAGGACGUUCCACUCUAUUCAUUGAAAAGUAAUUCUUGAUCGAGGCUAAAUCACGUAAGUUCCGGAGUGUUGUGGUUGUCUUGGCUUGAUGUUUUCCUAGUUCUCAGUGUUAUCAUCAGGUUAAAUUUCUUGCUCGUAUUAUAGGGGUUAUGGUUAGGGUUAGUGAAAGUCGUACAGGAUCUAACCAUUAAUAAGGGAAAACAGAGGAACUUGUUCCAUAAGUCAAGCUUUUCUAAAGGGUUAAGGAUUAUGUCCGGGAUUAUACAUUUGCAUGGUGGAUUUCUAUGUAUAGUUGCUGAGUAUCUCAAGUUCCUUUUCUAUUCUUGUUCUUCUUAUUAUAAGUUCCUAGUUAGAUUUAGUUGUUAGUUGUUCCUUAUUCUUAAAGUUCCCCCAAUUGUUCUUUUACUGUUGUGAGUCUUAUUUAAGUGUUUUGGAUCUUAUUCUUAGGUAUUUGCAAGCAUAUUAUUUGUGGGAUUGACCCUACUUCCACUAAUUACAAGUUAGUAGUCUUAGGGUAAUUAUUAAUAAUUUGUGUGUGUUUCGGCACCGGAUCAAAAUUGGCGCCGUUGUUGGGGAAUGUGAUUAUUUUGCUAUUUAAUUUAAGAAUUUGAUCCUUCUUGUUUCAUUUUUUUUUAAGGUCAAAGUAACAUGGAUUCGUUGCUAGAUGAAGAACAGGAACUCCUAGAGAUGGCGAGAAACUUAAAUUCGCAAAUUAAUGAAGAUGAAGAUGACGAGGAAACUUUAGAGGCUGGAUAUAUGGCUAUAUCUAAUGUCCUUGCAAGACUUAAAGAAAUUCAAAGCCUUAAAGAACUGGAAGGAAAUAAGAAAAGUUUGUAGAUCAAGUUCCUUUGGUAACUAAUGAUAAUUUAUAUGCAGGAACUCAAUAAUGUUCUAACUUAUACGGAGGAACUUAUGGUUUACAGGAAGUGAAUUAUUAUAAUUAUGAUUCAUCUUUGGCAUAUUCAUAUGAGCAUCCUUCAUUUGCAUUUAUUUAUGAUUUUCCACCAAGUUUCUCCUCUAAUUUUGAUUCUUCAUACACUUAUGACCCAAUGCAUGAUGAAGUUUCUAAUUCUUCCAUCUCAAAUCUUGUAAAACAAUUUGGAAGGGAUACUAAUGCGCAGUUAGAAUCCUUAGAAAAUACGAUUGGACAAUUAGCUACUCUUAUAAGUGACUUAGGAACCGAUAAUUUUAAUGAAACUACCUUGAUUCCUAAUGAUCCUAGUGGGAACACACCAAGUGUGGGGGAAAAGGAAGAGGAACUUAUUGAGGUUGAGUCACUUAACUACUAUGAGGAAGUUAUGGAAACUGAAAUUAAAGUCAACAAUUCUGUAAUGCAUGAUUCUUUUGUAGAGUUAUCUGACGAGGAACUUGAUAACUCAAAUGGAAAUUGUGAUAUUGAUUGUUCCUUGUUUGAUGGCAAGUCGUAUGAUUUAUUUGAGGACGAAGUUUCAAUGCCUAUUAUACAUGUUCCUUCUUUACCUAUGAUUCCAUGUACGUUAGAGUCUAUUUGGUCAUAUGAGCAUGUUGUUGGUUUAGUUGAGUCUAAUGUUGUUCCGUGUGUUCCUUACUUUUCUUUUUGUGAAACAAUGGAUGAGUGGAUUAGUAUGGAACCUUUUUAUGAUAAAACUGAAUGAAAUGAGAAGUUGCAUGCUAAAUAUGAUGUGGAUUACAUACCUCGUGUGAAGAUGAAAAUUUUGCAGGUUUGUAAUCUGAAGUUCCAUUGGCCACUUAUAUCUAAAGAGAUGGCCUUAGCUGAAGCUGCUUAUCAAGGAGCUGGAGUUUGAUUGGAUCAAGAUGAAUGGUCAAGCCUAUGACUUAAACUAAGGGCGCUGCUUGGGAGGUUAUUGAAGAAUUUUGGAACAUAAAGAGAUGAACCAAAUAAAGGAGUAAAUGUGGAACACAAAUCGAAGUUCCUUCGGAGGAACUUGAGAAACUGACGGAGAUAAAAAGAGCUUGCUAGGCACGCUUUGUUCGUCUACGUUCAUUGAAUCCACAAAUUUCGGAAGUCUUAGGGAAUAAUUUACAAGAUCUACAGCAAUUGGAAAAGAUAUAUUUGAUUAAAGAGAAGAUCUUAUCAAUUGGUUAGGUAUGGAAAGAGAUAUAUUUUAACAAUCUUAUCUAAUUACUUUCCUUAUCUUUCAAAGAUUCCCACUUAUCUCUUAGCCUAUUUAAAGCCACAAAAUUAGAGAGAAAAGAUGAGACAUGAGAGAGGGGAGACCUCACUCCAAAACCCCUCAAGGGUUAGGAGUCAUUCGUCACUGUCUGUGAUACAUUGCAGUAGAGGAACUCGGAGCAACCUUAGAGGAACUCAGAUCCGAAUCUGAGGAACUUGAUGGGUUCUUGUUUCGUUUUCAUUUCUUAUCUUUGUGUUAUGAGUCCUUAGCUUGUUAUGUUCAGUAACUAAUAGUUUGAAUCCAUGUAAUGAGUAUUUGAUACGAGUAUUGUCGGUUUUAAUGAUUAAUGCUUUAGAGUAUUCUUGAAUUAUUGUUUUGUUCAUACGAAUGAUGAUUUCUUAUAAGUAAGUGUACAACUAUUUUUUUGGGUCUGGUUUCUUUUUCUAAUUAAUACUACUAAGUCCGUAAUUGCUUGGGAACAUUAAUGAAGUAGCAAACAAUUGUUGAGGAGGACUUUCCACUCUAUUCAUUGAAAAGUAAUUCUUGAUCGAGGCUAAAUCACGUAAGUUCCGGAGUGUUGUGGUUGUCUUGGCUUGAUGGUUUCCUAGUUCUCAAUGCUAUCAUCAGGUUAAAUUUCUUGCUCGUAUUAUAGGGGUUAUCUGUUGGUUAAGGUUAGUGAAAGUUGUACGGGAUCUAACCAUUAGUAAGGGGAAACAGAGGAACUUGUUCCAUAAGUUAAGCUAUUCUAAAGGGUUAAGUAUUAUGUCCGGAUUAUACAUUUUCAUGGUUGAUUUCUAUGUAU